rnacentral:lncRNA from 1 species
CGAGUUCCUCCCAGCUCCCGGGGUCUCCUUUCCUACCAGAAGCUUUCCUCCUUUCUUUUCUGCCCCGUCACGUGUGACACAAUGAAGGCACCUGACCCAGAUGGCACCUGUGUGAGGAUGGCUUCUAUCACCGGUAGGUCCUCCCUGUUUAACCCGACAGUGGUAUCCAGUUUUAAUUUGCAAAUGAUCUCCCUGCUCAUUGCUCCCCAAAUCCUUCAGGCAGUCACCUGUAGAAUAAAGAAAAGCACAGGCUGGUCAAAGACAGUCUCGGGCCAUUUUGCCAAAUUAUCUCCACAGUUGUCGUGGGAGCACAGGAAAUCCGUUUCACUGCCGAGCAAAGAUGCUAAAAUUUGGGAAAUGAAACAUGCUGUGAAGUGGCCACACUGCUCCCAAACCAAUGUCUCCGUGUUGUGCCCUUGCUGGGCGGUGGAAGAGGGCAGAUGGCCCGAGAUUGUCUGAUUAGCGGGGUAAUAAGCACCCGGCUCGGAGGGGACAUGAGUGGCAGAACAGAGGGGUGAAGAGAGGCCACCUGCAAGGGACGAGUGGUCUCAGAGCUGAGCUUGUGAUAGCUCCUGUCGGUUCGGGGGAAACUGUUUAGAAAGAGGAACCUGCGAAAGACCCCUGGGGACCCAGCACCCUGAUCAGGGUUCUCAGCCACAUCUCUCCCUUGUCUGAAAACACCUCCAUCAACCUUAGCAGCUCUCCCCUUGCUGCCUCUCUUCCUGGAGUCACCCAGUUGAUCUUAACGUCUCGGCCAGGGGGGAAGGCGAUGGCGGGAGUGCAGCCAGCAAGAGCCCAGGCCGUGGCACCGAGAGAACAGCGACCUUGCGCUCAUUUAGUCACACAAGUGACAAUUCGGCUCCAUCUGUGUGUCCAGCCCCUCAGUGACACAGGCAGGAUUCCUGUUCCUAAAGUUCAUGUUCGUGGUGGAGAACAUUAAUAAUUGAUGAUGGGGAUGGGGAUGUGGGGGCCAAGGACACCCAGGGCCGGGGCACACAUUGGAGGUGGUGUGGAAGUGUGGAAGGGGGGGUGCAUCCCAAGCUGCCAGGACCAGGCGUAGACAGGGAGGAGCGGGGAGCACACAGCCCCGCGUGGCAUCUGGUGUCCUUUCAGACACCCCCGAACGCUCUCUGCCUCACCCCCAUUUUAGCUGCCUAAAGGUGGCCCUGGUGUGGGAACGGGGGGAGCAGGAAGGCCUUGGACCAGAGUGCAUCCAGAGGGCGUUCCAAGGUCGGCUGACACAGUUCUGGUCUCCUGUUCCAUGUGCUCAGGUUGUAUGCCUGUGCAUAUUUUAAACUAACAUUUCAUGUGAAAUUUAAGUCACAACAAAAUGAGAGCUCAUAGGGCAGGAAAACCUGGAUUUGAAGGUGCAUGCCUGUUAUCCCAGAACUCAGGAGGCUGAGGCAGGAAUUGGCAGCCAGCCUGGGCUACAUAGUGAGUCCCAUAUGAGACCCUGAGAAAAGCGAACAAAAAAACAGGGCAGGGAAAUCCACAUACUCUACAUCAACCAUCAAUUGCACUUGUCAGUUCAGCCACACCCAAUGUUCUUUUCUUUUUGAGACGGUCUUUCUGCUUUGCCCAGGCUGGUUUCUAAUUCCUGAGGUCAAGUGACCCUAUAUUGCAUUACAUAUAUGUUGUAUGCUAAUAUUUAUUUAAAUAUGUUACAUAUCAAACUUAGUAUCAGUCAGUUAGAAUGCCCCUAAGAACUCGUUCUGGUUUUUGUUUAGUGUUUACAGUAUUUUGUUCCUUGUUAUUUCAUCUUAUGAUUUUUCCUCUAUAUAAAACCCCUUUCAAUGGCAGAUAAAGCCUUCUUGGAAACAUGCCAUGUUGUAUUUGUUAAAAUCUAUGUAACUCUUUCAGUGCCUCAUGACUGACAGCAGCAGCUUGCAUAUCACCAUGCCAAGCUUGUGCAAGAAAUUCUGUUAAAGAGUACAAGGCUGAAGGAAGAGCACAACACUCUG